rnacentral:rRNA from 1 species
UACGUAGGUGGCAAGCGUUGUCCGGAUUUAUUGGGUUUAAAGGGUGCGUAGGCGGUCAAUUAAGUCAGUGGUGAAAUACGGCAGCUCAACUGUCGAGGUGCCAUUGAUACUGGUUGACUUGAGUACUGAUGAGGUAGGCGGAAUGGACGGUGUAGCGGUGAAAUGCUUAGAGAUCGUCCAGAACACCGAUAGCGAAGGCAGCUUACUAAGGAGUAACUGACGCUGAGGCACGAAAGUGUGGGGAU